GUAGCAUAAUCAUUAGGGAUUUAAUUGGAACCUGGUAUGAAGGGUUGGACAAAGGAAAAACUGUCUUUUUGAUAUAAAUUGAAAUUUACUUUUAAGUGAAAAGGCUUAAAUUAAUCAGAGGGACGAUAAGACCCUAUAAAGCUUUAUAAAUAAUUUAAAUUUAAUUAAUUUAUUAAGUAAAGGUUGAGUUUAAUUAUUUUAUUUUAUUGGGGCGAUAUGAGUAUAAGUUGUAUUAACUGCUUAUGAAAAAUUCUAUUAUUUAAGAGUUUAUAGAGUAUAUGAUCCUUUGUAAAGAUUAAGAGACUAAGUUACUUUAGGGAUAACAGCGUUAUUUCUUUUGAGAGUUCAUAUCGAAAAAGAAGAUUGCGACCUCGAUGUUGAAUUAAAAUAUCUAUAUAAUGCAGUCGUUAUAAAAGUGGGUCUGUUCGACCUUUAAAGUUUU
rnacentral:rRNA from 1 species